rnacentral:rRNA from 1 species
GACGAACGCUGGCGGCGUGCUUAACACAUGCAAGUCGAACGGAAAGGCCCUGCUUUUGUGGGGUGCUCGAGUGGCGAACGGGUGAGUAACACGUGAGUAACCUGCCCAUGACUUUGGGAUAACUUCAGGAAACUGGGGCUAAUACCGGAUAGGAGCUCCUGCUGCAUGGUGGGGGUUGGAAAGUUUCGGCGGUUGGGGAUGGACUCGCGGCUUAUCAGCUUGUUGGUGGGGUAGUGGCUUACCAAGGCUUUGACGGGUAGCCGGCCUGAGAGGGUGACCGGGCACAUGGGGACUGAGAUACGGCCCAGACUCCUACGGGAGGCAGCAGUGGGGAAUAUUGCACAAUGGGCGGAAGCCUGAUGCAGCAACGCCGCGUGCGGGAUGACGGCCUUCGGGUUGUAAACCGCUUUCGCCUGUGACGAAGCGUGAGUGACGGUAAUGGGUAAAGAAGCACCGGCUAACUACGUG